rnacentral:rRNA from 1 species
UACGUAGGGCGCAAGCGUUUGUCCGGAAUUACUGGGCGUAAAGAGCUCGUAGGUGGUUUGUCGCGUUGUUCGUGAAAACUCACAGCUCAACUGUGGGCGUGCGGGCGAUACGGGCAGACUAGAGUACUGCAGGGGAGACUGGAAUUCCUGGUGUAGCGGUGGAAUGCGCAGAUAUCAGGAGGAACACCGGUGGCGAAGGCGGGUCUCUGGGCAGUAGCUGACACUGAGGCGCGACAGCGUGGGGAGCAAACAGG